CAGCCACCAGAACCACCCAUUAUAACUCUGCUUUUCUCUGUGCUGGGGCUGCAGCUCUCCCUGGCUUAUAGGUGUUUGCUUCUGACACCGCGUGGGCCCUCCGUGGGCAGGUCUGUCCUGUGCUGUGGACUCCUCUAGGAAGCCCCGACCUGGGGUAGGAAGGAAGAAUCCUGGACGGGAGGAACUUCGUGUUCAAUCAUUGCUAGUCCAUGACACAAGCUGGAAGCCUUGUGAACCCUCCUCCAGGCCACACGCAGCUCCGAGGACAGUGCCUGGCUGGGGACCAGAGUGCCCUGCAGGGAACUCGGCCUGAGGGACUAUCCUCCGCGACUCUGGGCGACCUGAGGCCUGAGGCAAGUGAACGGCUUCCCCCACUGCUCUCCACCCUGCGCUGCGCAGGCCCCAAGCCAUGGCGAUGACUGUGGCCUGGAGCUUCCGGAACCACGAGCUGCAUACACAAUGUCUCCACAGGCUGAUGGCCCUGGGCGGGCGUGUUCUACUCUGAGGCAAAACCAACCAGCACCCAGGAGCAGGGUCUGAGCACUGACUUCCAGUCCUUAGUGCUGUUCUUGGUCUCCACCUCUGGCUGUGUCUGCUCCCUUUUCUGGGCCUGGGUCCUUCCUUCCUGGGUGGUCUCUGGGCUCCCUGGGUCUGACCCUGUCUUUCUGGGUGAUGCUCUGUCCACCGUCUGGAUGCCCUCCUGGAUCCAGUAGCCCCCGCACAGGAGUGUGAAUCGCUGGAGCUCUGGCCAAAGCCCGAGAGAGCCUGUGUGGAAAGGCUGGGCUUAGAGGCUGCAGGGCCGCCCUUUGGAAACCCCAUUCUGUGGAUAGGAAGAGCCUGGCUCCAGCUCUACCCCAAGGGUGUAUGAGUGUCCUUGUCUGACCCAGCUCUCCUACAAGUCCUCCUUGGGGUCUUGUGGACUCUUGCACCCCAUAGAUGUGCUCCCCUUGGACUUGUGAAUGUGCUCCUACUGGAGAAAAGGUCUUUACAGGUACAGUUAAGGAUUUCUGGGUGGUGUUGUCCUGGGUCAUGUGGGCAGGCCCUGGAUCCCUGCCAGGUGUCCUCCUGAGAGGAAGCCAGGUAAAAACUGAGGCAGGGCCAGUGUGAUGCUUCACCAGCCCAGGGACCCCCAGGUUGGCUAAGGUCCUGGGGCUGGACAGAGGCCAGGGCUGUGUUCCGUUCACACCCACCCUGCUUCAUCUCCACGUCAGACUUGAAAGCAGCCCAUCCCUGCUGUUGUACAUGCACAGUUUGCGGUGGUAUGUUACUGCAGCCCUGGGAAACUGGGCCAGGUCCCACCCCAACUCUGGCCUGCCUCUGUGACCUCAAGCAUCCAUUUCUGAUCCGGAAAUGGAGUAAAGACGCCAGGGGAGGUGAGGACAAGAGCAGUGACGCUGGCUCAUGGUCCCAGCUCAGCAUCUGGCCUGGCCCACAUGUGUACAGAGACACCAGGGAGAAAGUCCAAGAACCUGGUUCCCCCAGAGGGUAGGAGGCCCUGGGCUGGAGACUCACCCCAAAGAGGCAAAGGCAACGGCAGAGGGGGUGAGCAGCUGAGGUCUGAGUGCCGUGACCCCAGACACUGUCGUGGACACCAUCAUCCCAGUGUUGAAGUCCAGAAAGAUCAAAGUCCCUAAA